GCCCUGAUAGCUCAGCUGGAUAGAGCAACGGACUUCUAAUCCGUAGGUCGUAGGUUCGAAUCCUACUCAGGGCGCCA
rnacentral:tRNA from 1 species